CACGCCGUAAACGAUGAUUACUAGGUGUGGGGGGACUGACCCCCUCCGUGCCGCAGUUAACACAAUAAGUAAUCCACCUGGGGAGUACGACCGCAAGGUUGAAACUCAAAGGAAUUGACGGGGGCCCGCACAAGCAGUGGAGUAUGUGGUUUAAUUCGAAGCAACGCGAAGAACCUUACCAGGUCUUGACAUCCCGUGCAUAGCUUAGAGAUAAGUGAAGCCCUUCGGGGCACGGAGACAGGUGG
rnacentral:rRNA from 1 species